GUUCAAAACAGCCAUUGCCUUCUAUCCUGCUCAAAACCCGAUACGGACAUCAGACUGGAUACAACCACCUUUGCUGCACUCCUGAAAAAUGAAGAAUAACAGAAACCUACAAUAGACUCUAUUAAUGCUGCAACAGUUUUCCAAGGCUUUAUGAAACAAGCUGUUAGGUACCAUAACCAAUUUACUAAAUCCAAAUGGUAACCUGUAAGUUUUCAUACUGAGAAUAUGAGCUCAUAUUACUCAGUGAAACAGGACAGUGAAAUUACACACUGUUCCUACUAUAAAAACAAAGAGAAUCAACAGACAAUGGUGAUGGUUCCUCUUCUCUGUCACCAGCAAAGACCUUCUGCUGGCAGCAGUCCAGGCCAAGUGUCCUGGUUGCUAGCAAGGUCAUAUGGUUAUUACCCUGCUCAUAUGUGUGUGCUCACUUCUGUGUGUCUGUAUGCACACAUGUACCUUCAGACAGCCCAGAAUAUUUUUAGCUGCAUUCAGAAGGAUACGUGCACCCACAAGCUGCAGAGAUCCAAGACCUGGUUAUCAAGCCUCUGCUCUGCCAAGCCACACCAUCAACCUGUGACCUCCAGACAGAGGGAUUUCCAAUUUCAUACUUAAAGAAAACAAGACAUGGACAACCUAAAAUGUUGUGGUUGCAGAGAAGUUCUGCAGCAAAAGAACUUGACUCUUUGGGCUUAUGCGCUCCAUUCUGCUUCCCCAGAUCUACAGGACCAUUUUUCUUAAGGACACAGCAUCUGGAAACUGCAUUUUUGAUGUACUUAUUGUUGCAGAAUGUUUCAUAUUAUAGUAGGCAGAGGGCUUCAUUGUCUUCAAGACACUGAUGCCGAUAUAACUAUUCCAGUUUAAUCAGAUUUAUUUCUGAAUUAUGUCACUUAAACAUCAGCAUAUCACCAGCUUUGACUUAGGAUGUAGUGUAGAUUUGAUUAGGCACCAUCUAAAAGCCUGAGGUUUUUAUAGCUUUUAAUGUAAGACCUUAAAGAUUAUUCUACUUUUCAAGUUUUUAUUUUUUUUUGUAUUUUUCUUUAUGUAAUUAGUCUUCAUAGAAAUGUUUCUUUUAUUAAUUGCUUGGAAGAUGAAAAAACUGUUAUUAUAGCUAGCAAUAGAGGCAGCAAAAAAAAGUGGGACAUGGUCACUUCUUAACUACACAGCAAAAUGUAGAAAAUAAUUGUAAAAGUAGAUCAGACAAAUAGAAGUAUAAACACAUUAUCCAUCUGCAAGAUGGACCUCUCUCUGCUUAUAAAACAUUAUGUAUUUCACAGCAUUGUGAUGUAACUAAAACAUGUAAUUUAUCUGUGAUAAUAAAAACGAAAACUCUG
rnacentral:lncRNA from 1 species